AGGCCAUAGUGACGUCACCAUGUACACACAGUCGGUCUGUCUGGCUGUGGUAGUUUGUCUUGUGUCUUCAGGUAAUUUGGCUGUUAACGACGACCAUCAUCACGUGGCACAGUGAACACACGUGGUUUCCCAGCUACCAGUGGAAGGUUUGCCUGUGUCCGCGCUGUGAGGCUCACUUAGGCUGUUUCAGAUUCACUGCUUGUCGGAGUACCAAAGUUUCAUAAAUAUUAACGUCAUGGCUGGUGACCAUCAGGACAAUGCCUCUCUGGACGACAUGGUUGAACUGGAUACUAACUACCUCACUCAGUUGGAGGAGGAAGCUGCCGACCGCUACACUGAACAUGACAAGGAGUUCAUGGAGCACUGUCGUAAACCAACACCGCUGCCGCCAAUCCUGCCAGCAGAGAGCGGCGACCGCAACAGACACCGUGGAGGUUUCCGAGGCAGAAGUCGAAGCAGUUACCAUAACGACCGGCAGGGAGGCUACGACCAUGACAACAGACAAGGCUCUAGGGACAACAGCAGAGACUAUGGAGGAGGAGAUAGAAGAAGGGAAUAUGGUGGGGGUCACAGGGACUAUGAGGGAGAGAGGAGAAACUACAACAAUGACAGGAGAAAUUUUGAAGGUGACAAGAGGGAAUAUGGUGGCAAUAAGAAGAAUUAUGAUGGUGAAAGGAAAGGUUUUGGUGAUGGUGGGUUUGGUGGUGAGAGGAGAGGUUUUGGUGGUGAUAGGAGAGGUUUUGGUGGUGAUAGGAGAGGUUUUGGUGGUGAUAGGAGAGGUUUUGGUGGUGAUAGGAGAGGUUUUGGUGGUGAUAGGAGAGGUUUUGGUGGUGAUAGGAGAGGUUUUGGUAGUGAUAGGAGAGGUUUUGGGGGUGGCGACAGGCGAGAUUUUGG
rnacentral:misc_RNA from 1 species